rnacentral:rRNA from 1 species
UACGUAGGGGCCUAGCGUUGUCCGGAUUUAUUGGGCGUAAAGAGCUCGUAGGCGGUUUGUCGCGUCUGCUGUGAAAACUCGGGGCUUAACCCCGGGCCUGCAGUGGGUACGGGCAGACUAGAGUGCGGUAGGGGAGACUGGAAUUCCUGGUGUAGCGGUGAAAUGCGCAGAUAUCAGGAGGAACACCGGUGGCGAAGGCGGGUCUCUGGGCCGUAACUGACGCUGAGGAGCGAAAGCGUGGGGAGCGAACAGG